GAUGAACGCUGGCGGCGUGCCUAAUACAUGCAAGUCGAGCGAACAGACGAGGAGCUUGCUCCUCUGACGUUAGCGGCGGACGGGUGAGUAACACGUGGAUAACCUACCUAUAAGACUGGGAUAAUUUCGGGAAACCGGAGCUAAUACCGGAUAAUAUAUUGAACCGCAUGGUUCAAUAGUGAAAGACGGUUUUGCUGUCACUUAUAGAUGGAUCCGCGCCGCAUUAGCUAGUUGGUAAGGUAACGGCUUACCAAGGCGACGAUGCGUAGCCGACCUGAGAGGGUGAUCGGCCACACUGGAACUGAGACACGGUCCAGACUCCUACGGGAGGCAGCAGUAGGGAAUCUUCCGCAAUGGGCGAAAGCCUGACGGAGCAACGCCGCGUGAGUGAUGAAGGUCUUCGGAUCGUAAAACUCUGUUAUUAGGGAAGAACAAAUGUGUAAGUAACUAUGCACGUCUUGACGGUACCUAAUCAGAAAGCCACGGCUAACUACGUG
rnacentral:rRNA from 1 species